rnacentral:rRNA from 1 species
GAAUCUUGGGAAUGGGCGAAAGCCUGACCCAGCAACGCCGCGUGGGCGAUGAAGGCCUUCGGGUCGUAAAGCCCUUUUGUGGGGGAAGAUGAUGACGGUACCCCACGAAUAAGCCACGGCUAACUACGUGCCAGCAGCCGCGGUAAUACGUAGGUGGCGAGCGUUGUCCGGAUUUACUGGGCGUAAAGGGCGUGCAGGCGGUUCGUUAAGUUCGAGGUGAAAGCUCCCGGCUCAACUGGGAGAGGUCCCCGGAUACUGGCGGACUUGAGGGAGGCAGAGGAAAGUGGAAUUCCCGGUGUAGUGGUGAUAUGCGUAGAUAUCUGAAGGAACACCAGUGGCGAAGGCGACACCCUGGACCAAUACUGACGCUGAGGUGCGAAAGCGUGGGGAGCAAACAGG